rnacentral:lncRNA from 1 species
CACACACACAUUCACUUCAAAAUAAACACUCACAGACACACACACAGACAUUUCCACUAACACUCACAAACUAAUAUUUUUUACAUUUAUUUUAAAUCCACCCAGCCUCCCUGGGAAAGCUGGAGUGGAUUUCUUACCAGCAGUCCAGUGUGGCUGCUGGGCAGGCAGGCAGGGGGCGCACAGGCUGAGUAAGCAGCGCUUAGUGAUGCCGGGAGCCGGACUGACGUCAUAUUCUGGCUCCCGGCUUCAUUAAGCGGCGCAGAGGAAGCUGAGCAGGAAGAGCUCAGGUGAGUAUGCUCCUUCGCUGCCCGCUGCCAGCCUUGGGGGGGCUCAAAAGUGGCCAGCCGGUCAGCUCUUGAGCCCCCCAGGAUGCGAGGCAAGCAAGGGAU